AAGAAUUUCCUCCACUAUCAACAUAACAAUGACAGAUUGUCUUUGUGACAAUCAUCAGAGAUCAAGGAAUGAGUUCUUUUAUUCAAUUGAGCCUUUCAGGGAAAUUCAAAAGAAAAGAAACCUCAGGUGCAAUGUUGAAAUUGGUUUUCGCUGGUCUGGCAGCAGCGAGACUGGCAACCAAUUUGAGUUCUCAGUUCUUUAUGACCCUUGGAUGAUUAUUUUUUUUUUAGCAACCGUAUCAAAUAUUCCAGCGUCCUAGAACUUAAGAGGUACGAAAAUUCCGAAACCAAAUAAAUAUCCAUAUUUUAUAUAUAUCUAAUAUAUUACACAGCCUAAAAACAUUUAAUUACCUAAUACCUUGCAAAUUACAACUGUCUUUCCUUUAUGCAGGGUGAGUAAAGAUGAAUCAAAUCAGAGUCAAUAUUGAAUCAACAGAAAAAAGAUUUUGCAAAGAUAGUUACCUUGUUCAGAAUGCAGAGAACUCCAGCAAUGUUUUGGAGCAUUGUUUCUCCAGCUGUUUUUUUUCCUUUUUCUUCCUUUUCUCUCAUUUUUGUUUAUGUAAUAAAUACCUGUCCUGAUACAUUUUAUGUUGAAUUAGAAUAUUAAUAUAUACAUACAUAUAUUCCUGAUUUCAGGAUUUGAUGUGAAAUUAUAUGCUUUUCCUGAUAAGUUAUGGUAAGGCUUAAGGUCCAGAG
rnacentral:lncRNA from 1 species